UACGUAGGGUGCGAGCGUUGUCCGGAAUUAUUGGGCGUAAAGAGCUCGUAGGCGGUGUGUCACGUCGUUCGUGAAAACCUGCAGCUUAACUGUGGGCGUGCGGUCGAUACGGGCAUCACUGGAGUUCGGCAGGGGAGACUGGAAUUCCUGGUGUAGCGGUGAAAUGCGCAGAUAUCAGGAGGAACACCGGUGGCGAAGGCGGAUCUCUGGGCCAUUACUGACGCUGGAGGAGCGAAAGCGUGGGGAGCGAACAGG
rnacentral:rRNA from 1 species